CCUACGGGUGGCAGCAGUGAGGAAUAUUGGUCAAUGGGCGAGAGCCUGAACCAGCCAAGUCGCGUGAAGGAUGACGGCCCUACGGGUUGUAAACUUCUUUUGUCAGGGAGCAAUGGGGUCCACGCGUGGGCUUAUCGAGAGUACCUGAAGAAAAAGCAUCGGCUAACUCCGUCCCAGCAGCCGCGGUAAUACGUAGGAUGCGAGCGUUACCCGGAUUGAUUGGGUUAAAAGGGUGCGUAGGCGGAAUAUCAAGUCAGCGGUAAAAAUUCGGGGCUCAACCCCGUCGUGCCGUUGAAACUGAUGUUCUUGAGUGGGCGAGAGGUAUGCGGAAUGCGUGGUGUAGCGGUGAAAUGCAUAGAUAUCACGCAGAACUCCGAUUGCGAAGGCAGCAUACCGGCGCACAACUGACGCUGAAGCACGAAAGCGUGGGUAUCGAACAGGAUUAGAUACCCUUGUAGUC
rnacentral:rRNA from 1 species